UUUUUUUUUUUUUUUUCAGUGAUUUACCUUGCCUUGUUGCAGCAUCAGAGGCUCCAUACAAGCUCAGGGGACCAGGAAAUGGGGAAGAAACAGGGAAGCUGACAUCCUGAAAAGCACUGUCAAAAGCUGAAAACAAACCUAGGGAAGUACACAAAGAGCUGAAAAGGGACCCUAAAUGAUAAUCUCAAAUCUUCCAGUAAAAGUGAUGCUACAAGGCUGUGACCUGAGAUGAUGGAACAGGAUGGAAAGCCCUCCAAACCUCAGUCUCCUAGAGUUUAGACUACAUUGCUUCUGCCAGGUUUAUCUCAACACUAGUCACAUAGUCAGUAUCACAUCAGGAAAAAAAAAAAAAAAAAGGCUCUUACUGAUUCUA